GGAGUCGGCCGGGCGACCGCAGUUUCGCGGCUGUUGCCAUCGUCAGCGUUGGUAGGCGGUGCGAGAUUGAGGAAAGUCCGGGCUCCAUAGGACAGGGUGCCAGGUAACGCCUGGGCGGCGCGAGUCGACGGACAGUGCCACAGAAAAUAUACCGCCAGGCAGCGAGGCCACGCCUUAUUGCUUGGUAAGGGUGAAAUGGUGCGGUAAGAGCGCACCGCGUGCGUGGCAACACGCACGGCAGGGUAAACCCCACCCGGAGCAAGACCAAAUAGGAAUCCAUGGGCGUGGUCCGCGCCGGAUUCGGGUAGGUCGCUAGAGGUGUGCGGUGACGCGCAUCCCAGAUGAAUGGUCGCCUUCGACAGAACCCGGCUUACAGGCCGGCUCCCUUU
rnacentral:RNase_P_RNA from 1 species